rnacentral:rRNA from 1 species
GACGAACGCUGGCGGCGUGCUUAACACAUGCAAGUCGAACGGAAAGGCCCUGCUUUUGUGGGGUGCUCGAGUGGCGAACGGGUGAGUAACACGUGAGUAACCUGCCCUUGACUUUGGGAUAACUUCAGGAAACUGGGGCUCAUACCGGAUAGGAGCUCCUGCUGCAUGGUGGGGGUUGGAAAGUUUCGGCGGUUGGGGAUGGACUCGCGGCUUAUCAGCUUGUUGGUGGGGUAGUGGCUUACCAAGGCUUUGACGGGUAGCCGGCCUGAGAGGGUGACCGGCCACAUUGGGACUGAGAUACGGCCCAGACGGCUACGGGAGGCAGCAGUGGGGAAUAGUGCACGAUGGGCGGAAGCCGGAUGCAGCAUCGCCGCGUGCUGGAUGACGGCCUGCGGGUUGUAAACCGCUUGCGCCUGUGACGAAGCGUGAGUGACGGUAAUGGGUAAAGAAGCACCGGCUAACUACGUG